GAGGACAUUGUGGAGAGUGUCGCCAAAUGUGGGUCUGUCCGGCUGUCACUACUGCUGGAUUGCGGUGCUGGUACACGGAGAUCAACGGGAAGGUGGCAAUCGCCGGGACCCACUUGAGCCUCAUGCAGGAGGACAUGUACGUACUAACAUAAACAAGAUGGCAGAUAAGUUAUCUGCUCUUCAGCUCAAAGUGACGGAGGUGAAUGUGUUGUUCACCAUGAAGCAGAAUCACUCCUCCAAAGGUGAACUAAUUAAUUUACAUUGUUUACUUUCUGUAGUUUAUUCAAUGCCAAGUUCAACGGCCCUCUGAACUUAUCUAUGAAAGCAGUUUCUGAACUCUGAGCUUGUGUGACUAACGCUGAAGUUAUCUAUUGUGGCAACUCCUUUUGAAUCUCCCAGACCUGCUAGGACAGCAAGGACAAGUGCACGAUGGUGCACCGAAGCAUCACGGUGAACAUGGUAAUGUCAGGUUGUUGAUGGAGCGAUACAAAUUGGUAAUCGAUUUUACUGAGAGUUAGUAUUGUACAUAAUUUUCUUUAUAAGAGGUACCUCUGUUAUCCUGACAGAGAUUCCGCACAUUUGAUACCUUAGGUUUGAAGGCCGGGUACCACGCCGCCGCCAAUAUCGCGCGCAAACAUUGUUGAGUACUGAUGGUGAGAUUUUCCAUUUCUUUAUCUUUUGUCCUUUUAAUCAAGAACAAUAUUUAGAGCUUACAUGGUUGUCCAAAUUUAGUUCUAUAAAGAGAAAUAUUGAUGUCAUUCAAUGAUCAGUGUGGUGUACGAUAGUUACAGACUUCUUCAUCUGUUCUCAUUGAGCAAAGAUUGGACGCGUGGUCCAUAUUGUCGGAGUUUUCUUAUUGAGUUUUUUUGUUGCUAUUAGUAUUUUCAUUUAUGCAGAGGCCGGGUGUAAUGCUUAAGCCUUUUAAGUAAUAAAGCGCCUUUCAUCGAGAAAACAGUAUUUUCAUUUAAACCGGAAGUUUAUGUGAAGAAGGGGCUGGGUUGAAAUGCAUGAAUUUAUGUUCCUAUUUUCUUUGGAAGAAUGAGAUGACCAGGAAGGUUGUAGCUACUCAUCGCCUCAUUGUUAAGAAAAGGUUGUACCUGCUCACAUAAUAUUCACACAUCGUCGGUGGCAUGGCAGUGGCCGGCGGAAGGAUGCUUCUGUUUGACACAAAAAUCUUAUUUUUCCAACAACUACAAGAAAUCAGUGAAGCGGUAGGAAAUAGGAACUUGGUCCAGAAGAUUAUGUGAUGACCUAAUAUGCGACCUGGUGCCUUUUAGUACGUAAUAAAUGUAACUUCUUCUGCAACAAGAAUAAGAAUGAGAGGCAUGUUACAGUUAGUUUUAUCCUGAGAAUUGGUCACCAUUAUGUAACCUUAAUACAAUACUUGUGACAUAUCCAUGCAUAUAUGUGCUUUGCAAAUCGACCGACCUUUUUUUGUCUUCUGUGAAUAAAUCUUGAAUGACUUCCUAAUUUUUCUUUCAAUGGUGCAUAGUUCAAUUUUUUCUUCAUUUGCUAUCUUUACAUUCUUCAAAGCAAUUAAAUUUCUCAUGUUGCACCUGAGAUAAACCUACAAUCUAGAGCACAUGGAAACCAUAGAUCAUUUUUUCGAUUGCUUAUGCAAACUCAAGUAAUGGCUUUCAGAAGUAUUUAAACAUCAUUUCUUUUAUAUGGAUGUCUACCUUUCCAAAAGAAUUGAUAUUCUAUCUGGUGUAAUUCAUGAUCAAUUGAGGUAUCAAACAUAAUAUAGGAUGCAAAAACAGAGUGUAUGAGCAUGCAGUGUAUAAUUGGUGAGACUAGGGGAAUGUACUGACAAGUGACUUCCUUGCGUGUCCUUGAUGUUGCUUCCUUGGCUCACAUAUUAGUUCUCUUAAUAUGUAUCAUACUCGAUUUGAUCGGCAGGCUUCAGGUAAUUUGUAUUCGUGUGGUAAGAAUUGAUUGCACCACUUUCUUGAUGCAAUAACAUCAAUGGACCUGACUGCUACAAAUUACAUCACGAACUAUGUGCUACUUUAUUAAUUGUAGUUUCUUUGUUCAGUUAGUUCUCUGAAACAAAACCACUUCAACUCUCAAUGUGUAUGUUUCUCGGCAAAAUUUGCUGUAAUACUAAUCUUCCAGAGAUUGUUGUAAUAAAUAACUAUAUUUAGUAUCUUAUCUCAUCAGUGGGUUAAUUCUAUAGAACAACUAAUAAGGAGAUUUCUUAGUAGUACUGUAUAUGUUUGGAGCAGUGAGGUAACUUUUUCCUAUAUGACUUUCUUUCUCUUGCCUUUCAUGAUUUUGUUAUCCCCUCCAUUUUUUUAGGUGUCAAAGUUUGACCGUAGCUAGCUUGAUUUGGAGACAUUUCCUGUUAGGACUUAAACUUUGGCUUGGAGGCAUUGAGCUUUCGCUCUAACUAGCUUUGUUACUUGGUAUACCUCCGUCAGCGUUCAGGUAAACACUAUCUACCACAUUGUUUAAUCUGGGGUUUACUCCGGUGCCAAGUGUACUAUAUUGCUAGAUUCAACUUUAACCUAUGAGUUGCUCUGUAUCUAUUUCGGCAUAAAUGGUUCAUCCUACUAGGAUUUAAUUAGUGAUCUUACUUUUGUUGCUUCUUGGUGAAUAUGAAGUAUAUGGCGUUUUCAUGCAAGCAGGAGCCGGGUAGUUGUGGAGCGGGUCGUGCGAGAGACGGUCGGCGAGCACAGGCUGGAGGGGAAGGUGAUGCGUGCGACAGCGACCAUGCCGGCAGGCAGGGCAGGGUUGACCGUGGCCAUCAUGAUGUUUCCAAGGGAGAGCGAGGCAUCCGCCAUCGCGUAGCUAAAGAAGUCGAUGCCCCGGGAGAGGUUGGCCACCGUUGCCGGUGUGAAAGGUGAUAGACCUAAAGGCCGGUGACAGGUUCGCCGCCGUCGCACCUUCUUUGAACUUGGUGGGGACGUGGAAGGAGAGCGGUGGCGUCGUGAAUAGCUCGACGCCUGCUGUCGCGACCACGACCGUGGUCAUGACCAUUGUGUUGGUAAUAAAGAUAAUAAUUGUUUACAUAUCCCUCAGCUUUGGAAACAUUAGAUAAAUAUCCAACUUAUUAUUGAAAAAUAUUGAUUCAAGAUAAAUGGAACCUUUCCUAUAUACAAUGAGCUUCGGAAACAUUAGAUACAUAUCCAACUUAUUAUUGAAAACUUUUGAUUCAAGAUAAAUGAAACCUUUCCCAUACAUAAUGAGCUUAUUGCUGAAGGUUGUGUCGAUUGUGCUAUUAUUGCUGAAAUGAGAGGCUUAUGAAUUU
rnacentral:lncRNA from 1 species